GACGAACGCUGGCGGCGUGCUUAACACAUGCAAGUCGAGCGGUAAGGCCCUUUCGGGGGUACACGAGCGGCGAACGGGUGAGUAACACGUGGGUGACCUGCCUUUAGCUCUGGGAUAAGCCUGGGAAACUGGGUCUAAUACCGGAUAUGACCCUAUGGCGCAUGUUGUGGGGUGGAAAGCCUUGUGCGGCUAGGGAUGGGCCCGCGGCCUAUCAGCUUGUUGGUGGGGUGAUGGCCUACCAAGGCGACGACGGGUAGCCGGCCUGAGAGGGCGACCGGCCACACUGGGACUGAGACACGGCCCAGACUCCUACGGGAGGCAGCAGUGGGGAAUCUUGCGCAAUGGGCGAAAGCCUGACGCAGCGACGCCGCGUGAGGGAUGACGGCCUCGGUUGUAACGUAC
rnacentral:rRNA from 1 species